CAGCAGCCGCGGGAAUACGUAGGUGGCAAGCGUUGUCCGGAAUUAUUGGGCGUAAAGGGCUCGCAGGCGGUUUCUUAAGUCUGAUGUGAAAGCCCCCGGCUCAACCGGGGAGGGUCAUUGGUAACUGGGAAACUUGAGUGCAGAAGAGGAGAGUGGAAUUCCACGUGUAGCGGUGAAAUGCGUAGAGAUGUGGAGGAACACCAGUGGCGAAGGCGACUCUCUGGUCUGUAACUGACGCUGAGGAGCGAAAGCGUGGGGAGCGAACAGGAUUAGAUACCCCCGUAGUCCCUGUCUCUUAUAA
rnacentral:rRNA from 1 species